AAACCACAUGAUCUUGGUACAACCCUCAAGAUGAUAGUUGGGUUCAACAUGUUAUUGGACAAUGUCACGUCUUUAAACAUCCAGAAUAUUUACCCCGCGCAAAUUCAUUACUUACCUUCUUGUUUAAGCCAUUAUGCAUUCCCUAGACAUUCGAAUAAUCCAAAUCUAUCCAACAAUAGAGCAGUUGUUGCGGGAUCAAAGUAGUUUCUUACCAAGGAAGUCAUUUAAAGUUAUGCACCAAUGAUAAUGAAAGAAAUAAUAUACCAUGCUAUAUUUAUUCUCAAAAGGAAACAUUUAAAUGUUUUAGUUUCUAUCCAAGAAAGAAAGAUAGAAGAAGCAGGAUUGGGCAUAGACCUACCAGAUUGUAUGAUGGCCAUCGGCCGUUCAGUCCUGUCAUUCUUUGCAACCACGCCGCUUCAUGGGCUGAGAGUCAUUAAGAUUGCUUCCAUGACAUGCAACCGUUGUAUGAGAAACUCUAAUGCUUUUGAGGCCCUACCAAAAUGACUAAAAUUCAGAUCCUAGCAUAUAUUUAUUUUAUUGAUUUACAACACUGGAUGAAGGUGAAAUUUGGUGGUCAUUAGCAUAUAUUGUGAAUGUCCCGGUGCGCAUGUUGUUGAUUCUUGGCUAUGAUGAAAAGAAGAGGAGGAUGGCAUUAGUGAUAAAGAUGUCAGUGGGUUCAAAAUAUAUAAAUAGUGAGAGGAAUAAGUUGUUACCAAGGACAUACAAAAUUUUCAGAUUUGAGUAGUAGACCAACAGGGAGUGUACAUACCAAAUCUUGCAGAAUAGUUCUAGAGACCACGAUUCAAGCGAAGGAAUC
rnacentral:lncRNA from 1 species